UACGUAGGUGGCAAGCGUUGUCCGGAGUUACUGGGCGUAAAGAGUGCGUAGGCGGUUUUCUAAGUUUGGUGUGAAAUCUCCCGGCUUAACUGGGAGGGUGCGCCGAAAACUGGAAGGCUUGAGUAUGGGAGAGGUAAGCGGAAUUCCUGGUGUAGCGGUGAAAUGCGUAGAUAUCAGGAGGAACACCUGCGGUGUAGACGGCUUACUGGACCAUAACUGACGCUGAGGCACGAAAGCGUGGGUAGCAAACAGG
rnacentral:rRNA from 1 species